AUAUCGCACCAGGGGUGCUUGCUUCAAAAGAGCAGGCUGAGAAGAAACCCUUAUCACCUGAUCAGGUUAAUACCUGCGAAGGGAGUGUGCUUUUACCGUGUU
rnacentral:ncRNA from 2 species